rnacentral:rRNA from 1 species
UACGUAGGCAGCAAGCGUUGUUCGGAAUUACUGGGCGUAAAGAGUGUGUAGGCGGUUUUCUAAGUUGGAUGUGAAAUGCCCGGGCUUAACCUGGGAGUGGCAUCUGAAACUGAUAGGCUAGAGUGUUGGAGAGGGGAGUGGAAUUUCCAGUGUAGCGGUGAAAUGCGUAGAUAUUGGAAAGAACACCGGUGGCGAAGGCGGCUCCCUGGCCAAAGACUGACGCUGAGGCGCGAGAGCGUGGGUAGCAAACAGG